rnacentral:misc_RNA from 1 species
GAUGAAGAACGUAGCGAAAUGCGAUAAGUAAUGUGAAUUGCAGAAUUCAGUGAAUCAUCGAAUCUUUGAACGCACCUUGCGCCCUUUGGCUAUUCCGAAGGGCAUGCCUGUUUGAGUAUCAUGAACACCUCAACUCUUCACGGCUUGCCGUGAUGAGUUUGGACUUUGGGGGUCUUGCUGGCCUACGAGCCAGCUCCUCUCAAAUGUAUUAGCUUGCCGGUGUUUGGUGGCAUCACAGGUGUGAUAACUAUCUACGCUUGUGGUUUUCCACUAGGUAACCUUCAGCAAUGGAGGUUCACCGGAGCUCACAAAUGUCUCUCCUUGCCAAGGACAGAUUUUGACCCUUUGAUCUCAAAUCAGGUAGGACUACCCGCUGAACUUAAGCAUAUCAAUAAGCGGAGGA